AAAACAAGUUGUCUGAGGUGAGGUUGUUGUUCGUAUCUAGAAACUCCAUGAGUCCUCGUCUCACGCUGGGUGCUCUGAUCUUGACGACAGACAUCUGUGAAGGUCAGCAGGCCACCCUGAACAGUGGAGUUCUGUGAUCAACGUAGUCAGUGCAAACUAUGGAUGCACAGACAGUGUGACCCACGCACAUCUCUGCAUGUGACCUAUAUCUGCGUU